rnacentral:lncRNA from 1 species
UCCUCAGCUCCUCGCCUCGCCCGCGCCAACCCCGUCGCUGGCCACCAAGGGCUUGGUCCCCCCCGUUGCGCGCCUCCGCCGCCGACGACAGCCCCCUUGCGCGCGUCCAUACGGCAUUUCGGCGGCUCCUCCUGGCCUCGCCGCCUGCUCUCACUAAGCGUCGCCAAGGUCUGGUCACCCACGUCCCGCGCCGCCGCCAAGGUCUGUCGCGCGCGGGCAUCCUGCAUUUCGGAUCAUCAUCUACAUACUCGUCGCGGACGUUCCUGGAGGCGAUAUGGUCGGUGGAAGAGGCCCCAACAGAUCACAAGGGCUGGGGAGCGGGGACGACGACGAGAGGAGGAGGAGAGGGGGGAGGGGGGAGAAGAACAGGGGUUCCCAUUCCCAAGCCGGUGCAGCCGUGGCCUCCUCCACCAGCCUCGAGAAUAAGGUCACUUUCAAGAGGACGACACCACUUGUGGUUCCUGGAGAAGCAGCAGCAAGCGUAUGCCCGCUUCAUCUCAUUGCAUUUGCAUACAUGCAUUGUGGAUUUCAGUGCAAAUCAUGUUGCCUGUUGCAUGUACAAUUUGGCAUACAUUGGUACAUGCUCAUCACUUACUGAUUAUUAUUGUUUUGCCUUUUCUCCAUAUGAGGUUGGUUCCAUUGCAUGGGCAUAUUAAAUGGCUUAUCAACCAAACUUACGAGCAUGUGUUCUUAGAUUCCUGUAGCUAACCUCUCGUCAGAGGUGCAUAGAGUAAGUACUGAUGGUAUUCUAUUUGGGCCCCAACAUUUUCCAUAUAUGCUCUACCAAAUCAAAUUUUAGUGCCUUUAUAAGUCACGCGAUCCUGGAUUCGUGCAUCCUUUGUAGCACGUGUGCGAAUACCGGUAUAUUACCAUGAGGGAAUGAUCUUGUAUUCUUGCAUCCUUUGUAGCACGUGUGCGAAUACCGGUAUAUCACCAUGAGGGAAUGAUCCUGGAUUCUUGCAUCCUUUGUAGCACGUGGGUGAAUACCGGUAUAUCACCAUGAGCGAAUGAUCCUGGAUUCUUGCAUCCUUUGUAGCAAUGGGCGAAUACCGGUAUAUCACCAUGAGGGAACACUACUAAGGCUAGGACGAUGGAUGUGCCCGGAUUCAAAAUCAGAUUAUUAGCCGCUUCUUCUUUUCAUCCUCAACUGCCAUAUUGUGAAGUAUCAUCAGGGUCAUCCGGUGGAUAGGCUGCAACAUGUAACAAACAAGACAACAAUUCUACACAUCAGCAUAAUAUCGAACCGAAAAAUACUUUUUCUCUAAGUUGUUGAGCUUGAAAAGUCUCCUAGUAUCUAUUUAUGAGGUGAUAACUUUGCUGAGUGGAAGAUUCAUGCAGCUUAUUCUGUGGCUCAGUUUCAUGUACAAUGGGUUUAAUGCCAUGAGAAUAUAUCCAAUGUGCAAUAUUAUGCUAAAAAGUUGCCUUAGAAAUCACACUGGUACAUCUGUAAACUAUGCACAGUUAAAUCACACUGGUACACUGAUUUCACGGUUAGACUGUUGUGCAUGAUCGGCACCCCCUGCGUCAAGGAUGAGCGGUCCGUGCAGACCCUCAAGCCUACAAUUAAUGCUAACAGAAUGUGGCCAUGGGUAGUUAUUUGUUAUGGUUGGCUAUGGCUUGUUUAUGAGAGUGAUCAUCUUAUUAAUGCUGAGAAAUAUGAUUAUCUAUGUCUGCACAUUUUAAUCAUUACUUAUUCAUUUCCCUGACUGGGUUCAAUUUGUUGUCAACAGAAUUAUUCUGUGCUGAAUCUAGACGACGCUGCCACCGCACAUUAUACCUGGCGCAUGACAGUCUUCAGGUAUCGUCUCUGGUGUUUCAAUACCACAGACGAACGGUUCUACUUCGGCCACAAAGAGCGGCAGAGCUGCAAGCUGCCGAAGUCAGGGCAUUUUCUGGUGUACGUCCAUUACCAUGGGAACUGGAUGUGCCUGGUAAUUGACUGCCCAACAGGUUAUCUCACAGGAUAUAUAACAAGGAGCUUACCCAAAGACAAGAAAAUCCAGGAAAACAGAACAGAAAUUUCUGAAGGCUUGUCCAAGGCACGCAAGAAGGAGAUUAGAAGUCAAUUGCCUAUGUACAUUGAAGAUGCUAAAAUGCUACCUUGGAAAGGAUCUUAUCUCUAUGCUGCCGAAUGUCUUCUUGGCACCAUGGGUUUACAGAACUCUUUCAAGACUAUGUAUAAACAUCUUGAAGGCAUGCAAAUAUUUACGGUAGACGAAAUCCGAACAGCCGGAGAGCAUUUCAUUGUCCAUAUUCCUGAAGCCAGCAGAUCUGAUGUGCUCUUUAACAAGAUUGACACUAAUUUCAUAGUUGGUGUCAACAAGAUGGGUGCAUCACUUCUUGGUGAUGCCCAAAAUUGGGCCGGUCAUACAGAUGAUGCAUUUGACAUAAUGGUGGAUACAAGUGCCAGCAAAUGGGACCGGAAAGCUCUGAAAAAACAUGGGAAGUCAACAGAGGAUGAGUCAGAAGGUGUUGAAGAAAAAGUUUUUGGGCCAGAAGUUGAACAUCAAUUACUGAUUAUUGAGGAUCAAAGGUUGUACCACAGGAAAAAUCCAGGUAGUCGCAGAUUUUGUUUGAAAGAUUUACCCGUACAUCUUGGUCUAAAGGUUUUACACAUGUCCUGAUCAAACCUUUUUUGAAGUUCCAAAGAGCGGUCAAUGAAAAUACAACAUCAGAGACCAACAAAGGCAAUGAAAGCAUGGCUGAUGAAAACACAGAAUAUUUCUUUGAUAAUCCCAAUGCCAAUAGCCCGGAUCCCCAACGAUUCACAGAUGGCUGCAAUGUCUCAGGUGAUGUCCUGUUACCCAAGCAUGAAAAAGCUGAAGUAAACAAUGGUUCCCCACCACCUAUUAGCUUUGAGAUUGCUAUGGAGAAUUCUGUUACUCAGGUGAAUUUCAGGACCAACAUUAUAGACAAUGCUCAGCCAACUAGUUCCCAGGUCAUUAUAAGAGAGCUUGAUGAUGAUAAUGCUCUGACAGACUCUACUGUUACUCUGAAGCCAGUUUCAACGGAACUGAACUCUGCUGUUCCUACCCCUGAUCAAGAGCAGUCUGAACCUCUAGCUUUGGCACCCAAUCCUAUCUCAAAUGUUCUGGGCCAGGAUUCAGGUAGCAGCUCCAUCACUAUUUCUGGAAUUGGGCUGGGUCAAACUGCCUUGCUUGAUACAGCUGGAACUAAUGGGCCACAAGCUGUGCCAGAAAGCCCAGGCCCCCAUAACUACCUUGGAGGUCAGACACAACAACCACUCCAAUAAAUACAAUGGCUUCGAAGUUCCACAGAACUCUGACACCCGUGCCACACAGUCUAAAGUGAAGCCACCGCUAGUACCCUCUGCAGUACCCACGGCUAGUACCCUCUGAUAGCUUGGCCGCCUCGAUGGACCUUUGGCUCUACCCAGGUUGCAAUACCAGCUCCUGCUUCGAUCCCUGUGAUGCAGAACAUUAGUGUCUCAUGCUGUGCUGUUCCACCGGAAGAAUUAUCUGAAGAACCUCUCCUAGCUGAGUCCAGCAUGGACGUCCCCCCAGCAAGCAACGAUGAGGGCCCAUCCUCCUCCCACUUUUAAUUCUGCUUUAUCAUAAUGCCUCUUUUGCGUGGUUGGAAUGUCCUUUGCUGGAACGUUCGUGGCUUAAAUUCGGAUGAUAAACAACUUGCUUUAUCCAAUGCUAUCGCUAUUAGUGGGUGCGCGAUCGUUUGCCUGCAAGAGACAAAAAAAACUUAUCUUGCGUUUAUUAAAUCUUGCGGCCCUAAACGUUUUGAUAAGUUUGUGUUUGUUCCUUCUCGUGGUGCUUCGGGUGGAAUUCUUACUAUAUGGAAUACCUUGGUUUUCUCGGGAGAAGUACUAUACUCUGCUGAUUUUGCACAGGACAUCCGCUUUACAAACAACACAAUCUGCUCACACUUGGGACAGUACUGGACAUAUAUGGCCCCUGCACCGGUGACGACCGUAUAACCUACACCACUUGGCUAUAUGACCUUAACAUACACAAUGAUGAAUAUUGGCUCUUAGCCUCUUACUUGACGAUUUCAAUUAUAUCUGAGUCCCGGACAAUCGUAACAAACCUGAUGGCAAUGCAAAUGAAAUGUUCACCUUCAAUAACCAAUCAAAGGGCGGGCUUACACAUGGAGCAAUAUGCAGCAAGACCCGUUAGUCGAGCAAUUGGACUGGUUUCUCACGUCGCUUCAUUGGACAAAUGCUUACCCCAAAACUAUGGUCAAACCAUUGGGAAAACCAGUUUCCGACCACAUUCCUUGCAUGGUGAAUAUUGAAACCACCAUCCCACGCAGUAAGAUUUUCAGAUUUGAAUCAUUUUGGGUUCUUCACCCAGGGUUUAUGGAUGUGGUGCAAACUGCUUGGUCAAAACCGGUCCACGCAACUAAUGCCGCUACAUCCCUCAGCCGUAGAUUCAAGACCAUCAGCAGAAAAGACUUUAAAACACCAUAAAACUUCAUCUUUAUGUUUCAUAUAAGAUAGACCCAAGUCGUAACAAAGUAUUUCAAGCCACUGAUAGAUAACACUGGACAUGUCCAUACAUCAGAGUAGAUCAACACAAAAUGGGAUAUGCUCCUGACCCCCUUACUCGCAUAUGAGUUUCUGGUAGUUUAGCAAACUCACACGCAUCACAUUUCAGCUUGCUCUCGUCCAUACCACUCAUUAUAUCAUAAAAUACUAGAUAUAUUUUGUCAAAAGACGCGUCCCAUCCUACAGUGAUGGAUCAGUGCUCUAGUCUCCUUAUUCUCAGGAACUGCAGCUAGCAUGUGCAAUUCCUGCUUGUCCGGCAUAUUGCGGUCCAUGUACCACAGCCGCCUACAUCUUGUUCCAGUCACAAGACUCCUUCCCGUUAAUCUCUCCAGGAUCAAGAACACGAAACCUUGUCGAUAACUAUUCGGCAAUCUAUUUGGUCAACUGAAGCACUCGAGGACACUAAUUUCACAGGAAAAGCCGGCACAUGCAACACUAAGGAUAAUUCAAUACUAGGCAUGCAGUUGACUACCCCAAUACCUGUGAUGGGUUGGACUAUGCCAUCUGGUGUGAAUGUUUUUCUGAUGUGCGAGAGAGUGUGGAACAUAAGAUUUGAACUUAUUAAAUUCUCCAGCAACAUGUUGUGAUGCUCCAGACUCAAGCACCCAUUCAGAGUUUAUUUAAUGGGACGCAAUUGAUGCGUGUUUUACCUUCAUUUGUAUGAACAAAGUUGGCAUAACUGGUAGCAGUCUCCUGUCCUCCUACAGGCUGUUUCCCUUCAGUUGAAGCAACUACAUUUGCAUUGGGAGCAUUUCAAUGAGGAGCAUUCCAAGAACUACCACUUCCAUUCCCACCAUGACUCUCAUCCCAACCAGCUUGACUCCUACUGCUACCACUACACCCUCGACCUCUGACUUUUCUAGGCCAGUACAGAAAAGGCUGAUAUGCCCUGGUUGAUCACAAUUGUGAGUUGUGACACACCUCUGGCUGGUUAGUCACCCUGCAAGCAAAUUCAUUUCCAUCUUCUUGACUGCAGACAUACCUCUUCUUGGGACAUCGCAGCAAUGGCCUCAUCAAGCCGGAACAAGCGUCAACUGAUGUAGCAUUGCAAUAUACCUACUCUCUUUUUUUUGCGGGUGCAAUAUACCUACUCUCAAAAGAUUAAUCUAGGCCCUGGAGAAACUGCACCACACUCCUGUGCUCAACCCACCUCUUGGCAAUCUCCAUGGGCUCUGCAUGUGGAAUCUCAAGGGGAUCACACUGAUUCAGAUCUGCCCAACAAUGUUGCAACUCAGCCUGGACAGAACGAGCGGGCUUUUGGGCCCGCUCGUGGCCCAUUCAGGACCGGACCGUGCGGUCCAGGACCGGUAGGGAAAUAAGGUCGGUCCGGGCUAUGAUAUUCGGCCCGAAAAUAUGUCGGUCCGGUCCGGUCUUUAACCGAGCCGCUCGGUCGGACCGAGAAAUCGCAGUCUUCGCCGCGGUCGUUUCUCGUCUUCGUGGCCACCGACAGCCUACCACUUUGUCCCCGAGCUUCCCCUCUCCUUCCUUCCUCUUCUUCCCGUGAUGCGCAUCUUCUUGACGUCGGUCGCCAUCGUUGUCCUGCAUACACGUCGAUCUGGAGUUCUCGAACAUGGCCUCGACCCCAACCGUGGCCCCUAUUCCUGCGGGUAUUGCGGUUGCAUGAGCUGAAAUCGUGGCAUGACAGGAGCUGCAGAUCAAGACGUUUUUCUUAUAACUGAAAGGAACGAAAGAACAGCCAAGAACGAGUAUUGCGGCAGUGCCAUCGCAAGUUCACCCGUACGCAGCUAUGUUGCCGCUGCAUGAGCUGGAUUCGUGCCAAGCCACGAUCUCCCACAGCGGCUGAUCUAACUAACUUGAAACUAAGUCAAGAGGUGGACAUGCACAUGUGUUGCUUGAUGAGCGCGAAGACUGUCAGUUAAAUAGGUGCUGUCAAAUUUUCAGUAAAUUCAGUUUCAUCAGAUUCAGAAAAUUUAGUCCGUCAGUUUCAUCAAAGAUUCAGCUGUCAGUUUAUUUGCAUGUGACUAAGAAAACGCAGCUAACUAGGACCUAGUCUGCAGCUAAAUAAGACCUAAACUGCAGCUGGAAAAAGUUGUGGCAUCGAUCCACACGGUCCUCUAAAGCUUGACCGAGCCAGCUUCAUUUCGGCAUCCUUCCUCUUCUUCUCCGGCGACGAAGCACGGCAACGCCGACGAGCUCCGAUUCAGAAAAGCGGGCAAAUUUACAAGCAUUUAAAAGAAAAGAGACCGAAUUCGAACAAACAUAUAUCCAUUACAGAAAAUAUCAUACGUUCGAUUACAAGGGCUCGUCGGAGACGAUUACACCCUCCCCGAUUACACGGGCUAGCUCCUAACCUCAGCCACCUAAGCUCCUACCUCACCAUCUCCAAAAGUGGGCGCUCACCAGAGCCCCAGCGGUGCGGCCCCGACGUUGCGGCGACGCCGGUCAGUCGGAGUCGGAGUCGGAGGCGCCCCACCCCCUGUCGGCGCGGGAUGCCUCGAUGGCUUGGCGGAGGCGGAUCUCGUCAAGCUCCUCUUCCCUCUACCGGCACGCGGCGACCUGCUGGGCCUCUUCCUUGGUGCGCUCCAUCACCUCGGCCAUGACGUCCUCGAGCUCGUCGCCGUUGACGUAGCCCUCCGACAGAAAGCCCGGCGGCAGCAGCGCGGGUGCAAUGGCGGAGGAGCCCGCGGCAGAGGAGCGUGCCGCUUCCCCCAUCUGGCGGGGGCGGUCGUACUCCUCCACCUCGCGUCGGGCGAAGGCACGCGGUGGCGCGAGCCCCCAGUUGGUGUACCUUCGGGCGCCGCGCUUCCGAGCAGCGCCGGAAGCAACCCGCGCCGCCCAAUCGCGCUCAGACUCCGGGGUUUCAGGCGCCGGCCGCUUCGGCCUCCGGUUUCCGCCGCCGGAAUGGCCACCGUGCGAGCUGGAAGAUCCUGGCCUCCCCAUGAUCCGUGCGGCGGCGAGGUUGGAAUGCGUGGUUUUGGUGGGGUUCGCCGGCGGUGAGGGGCGAGAGGAGCUAGAGCGGCGCAGAUCUGGAAAAAGCUAGGGCACGACACCUCUCACCAUAGAAAUAGCUCCGAUGGGACACUGAUGUGACGCCCGGUGACUUCCGUGGCCCACGGGUCAGUUUAACCGCUCGGUCAGAUUGACCGGUCAGCCCGAGCGCCCUGCUCUGGUUCCUUCCACCGAGGCGCUGCAGGUCCGCUCCAGAUCGGCUGCUGCCCGUCCCGAUCUAGUCCCGCGAGGCUCCAGGCCAAGGCGCUGCCCGUCCCGAUCCAGUCCCGCGAGGCUCUGGGCCGAGGCGCUGCCCGUCCUGAUCCAGUCCCACGAGGCUCCCAGCCGAGGCGCUGCCCGUCCCGAUCCAGUUCCGCGAGGCUCCAGGCCGAGGCGCUGCCCGUCCCGCUCCAGUGAUCCCGCGAGGCUCCAGGCUACAGAUCGAGCCCUCCCCUGUUACAGAUCACGCCCUCCCUCCUGCUACAGAUCGAUCCAGCCCGUCCUCAACGCUUUUCCUGCUGCUGCUGCUUCCCGCGCCCCUGCUCGAGGACGCCAGCUCGACUCCCUCCGGUCCCGCUCGAGGCAGGAGGCAGCUCUGCUCCUGAUCGUCAGAUCCUGCCGGCCCUCUCUGAUCUGUAGCUGUCGAGAGAUCUAAAAAAAAGUCUACUGCAUCGGGCUAUGUUGCUGUCCCUCGUUGUUCGGUGAUCUUCGAUGGUAGUAACUACACUGAGUUCAUUGGCUUUAUGCGCAUUCACAUGCGUGCCAUCCGUCUCUGGGGUGUUCUUUCUCGCGAGGUCUGCUGUCCGUCACGUCCGGUUCCUCCUGUGGCUCCCACUCCGCCGAUCCCUCCGGCUUUUCCUGCGGAUGCUCCUCAGACUACGAAGGAUGCAGCUAAGGUUGCUGAUGAGGCUGCUAUCCGUGCUUAUAUGCGAAGGUCUUGGCUUACGAGGAGGCUCUUUAGGUGUAUCACGGUGCUCUGUCCGCAUACACCCAGUGGCUUGAUGAUGAUGCUCGUGCUGCAGCUGUUCUCACUGCUAGUGUUCUGCCUCAGUUUGCCUCUGAGUUUUUGGGCCUUCCUACUGCCUUUGAGAUGUGGACUCGCCUUCGUCAGCGCUAUGCGCCCUCUGGUGAUGCCUUAUACCUCUCCGUGGUUCGUCAGGAGCAUGCUCUUCAGCAGGGUGACUCUACUGUUGAUGACUUCUAUGCACAGAGUUCUGCUAUCUGGCGCCAGCUCGAUUCUCUCCGCACUGCUGGUUGUCGUACUUGCCCCUGUUGCCACGCUUUCCAGACCAACUUGGAGUUUCAUCGCGUCUACGAGUUCCUGUCUCGGCUCCAUAAGGAGUUUGAGCCCCGGCGUGCUCAGUUGUUUGCUCGUGGCUGUAUUUCUCGCAUGGAGGCGCUUUCUGAGAUUCGUGCUGAGGAGACUCGCUUACGUGGUGCUGGUUUGCUGGAGGUUCCCUCGGUGCUCGCUGCUCGGGCUACUUCUACACCCCCUGCUACACCGACCCCUUCUCACUCGAGUGCUCCGCCGCUCUUGCCCACUCCUUCUGGAGGCUCAGGUCGCCCCCGUCCACAUUGUGGCUACUGCAACAAUGAUGGUCAUAUUGAGUCCCACUGCUACAUGAAGAAGAAACACUUGCGCCAGGCGCAAUCAUCAUCUACAGAGACUUCGUCAUCUACCUCGACAACUUCAGCCAUUGCUUUGAUUGAGCAGGAUAUUCUACGACUUAAGCGUCUGCUCGCUGCUUCAGGUUCUUCCUCGACGGGUACUGCUCGUAUGUGACUCAGGCUUCCCGCACUGAGCAACCACCUUCUACACAGUCAGGACCGUCUCACGCACAUUCUAGUUGGAGUUGGCCUUGGCCGCCAUGAUAUUAUUCUUUUUCUCUUCUGCUGCCAUCAUCCCUAAUCUAGUGUGUGUUUUCUAGUCUUCCUUGUUUUCCGCUGCGUCCACCAAAUCCGUUGAUAUUUUGUGUUUUCUCAUGCCAUGCGAGUCCACCAUACCUUAGUCCGUCGGCCUUUUCUUUGGUCCUGAUCCUUUCUAUGCAACUUUUGUGGCCUAUUUGCCCUUUUUGUUUUCUAUAGGAUUUUCUGGACUUCUUUUGCAUUGUCGAUCUACGUCCAUCGUGCCUUAUCCGCCAAGCUUCUUUCGCCGACGGUUGUUGUGGACUAUGAUUUUUUGCACAAUGCUUUAUUCUCUUGAUGUGUCAUCUUCUUUUGACAACCCAUCUUCUCUUGAUACUUAUCUUGUAUCUUCAAGUGAUGCGGUGUCUACCUUUGAUGUGCCAUCUCUUCGUUAUCUCCUUCGGCGACUCGACAAGUUUUGAAGACUCUUCAUGCUUCGACGACACUCUCAAGACGCGGAUUUGGAUUAUCAUUGUUUUUUUUAGUAUUACACUUCUUCAAAUGCAAUGCUAUUGCAUACGCUUUGCAUUUGAGGGGGGUGUUAGAAAGUAUUAGUAUUAGUCUAGGAGUCCUUAUUAGUCUAUUAGUAUUAGUCUAGGAGUCCUUAUUAGUCUAUCUUUACUUUCCUUGCAUCUCAAGUCUUGUGUAAUAUAUAUAUGCCCCUUGGGCCUUCAAUAAACAUAAGUUGCUUUCCUAACAAAAAUUAUGUCUCCGUCACUUACGAUAACCAGAGGUAAACCAUGUAACUUGACAAUGUUGUUGAGGAAAACCUUGGCUACUGAGGCAACGGUGAAUGGGUGUUUUAAUGGUAAGAAGUGACUCACUUUAGUGAAACGGUCAACCACCACCAGAAUGGCUGAGUAUCCAUCAGACUUGGGCAAGCCUUCAAUGAAAUCCAUGCUCAUCUCCUGCCAAGGACUGUCAGGUAUGGGCAGUGGUUGAAACAUACCUGGUUUUUGUGCAUAGUUCAUGUUUAGCCUGUUGGCAGAUACCACACUGUUUGAAAAACAAAUCCACUACUGACUUCAAACCUUGCCAACUGAACAAUUGCUUAACUGUGUGAUAGGUGGAUAAAAUGCCUGGGUGUCCACCAAUGGAACUGUCAUGAAAAGAUUGAAUGAGCUUGGUUUGAAGUCCACUAUUUGCUCCUACCCAUAUCUUGUCCUCAUGUUUGAUGAGUCCCUCCUAGAGUUGGAACCCAGGGCAAGCAUUGGCAUCCAAGGCCAUUUUCUGCAACAUGUUCUGAGCCAAAGGAUCCACUGUGUAGGAGUUCAAAAUCUCUUGAAGCCAGAGUGGUCUACUUGUUGAUAUGGACUGAGAAACAAAAAGGUGAGCCACCCUAGAUAAAUCAUGUGCUACUGUAUUCUCCACACCUUUCUUGUACUAAAUAGUAAAUUGCAGUCCCACUAGUUUUGUCAUGGCUUUUCUCUGAAGAUCUGAAGUUAAAUGUUGAUCCCCUAGAUGACACAAACUCUGAUGAUCUGUUUUGAUGAUAAAAGGUGCUCUGGAUAAAUAAGAUCUCCAUUUCUCCACUGCCAUCAUAAUAGCCAAAAACUCCUUUUCAUAGAUGGAAGUUUUUUGACUAGCCGCUCCUAAUGCUUUGCUGUAGUGAGCAAUAGGGUGUCCUUCCUGAGACAACAUAGCUCCUACUCCAGGCAUGAGUUUCCACUACAAAAGUUUUCUCAAAAUUUGGUAGAGCUAGCACAGAAGUGUUGGCCAUAGCUUGUUUAAGGCUGUGAAAAGCUUGUUGGGCAGGUUCAGACCAUACAAAGGCUUGUUUAUUGAGCAGAGGAGUCAGAGGUUUAGCUAGUAGCCCAUAGUUUUAAACAAACUUCCUGUAAUAUCCAGUGACCCUAGGAAACCCCUCAACUCAGUAAUUGUUGUAGGAACAUGCCAGUUCAACAUAGCUUCAGUCUUAGCAGGGUUAGUUGCCACCCCUUUGUUAGAAAUAAUGUGGCCCAGAUAAUCCAUGGAUUGCUGGGCAAAAGCACACUUGCUUUCCUUGACAAAUAACCGAUGCUCCUUUAGGAUGUCAAACACAGACUGCAGAUGAUCAAGGUGUUCCCAAAAGUUUGACUCAAAACCAGUAUGUCAUCCAUGAAAACCAAAACAUAUUUUUCUCUUAGGGCCUGCAAAUGCAAAAUUCAUGACACAAUGAAAUGUUCCUGGAGCUGUAGCCAAACCAAAAGAAACCACUCUAAACUGAAAUUGUCCAUGAUGUGUUUUAAAAGCAGCCUUGAACUCAUCCUCUUCCUUCAUUCUAAUUUGAUGGUACCCAGCUCUAAGGUCCAGCUUGGAAAACCACUUAGUGCCCCCUAAUUCAUCCAGCAAUUCAUCAACUACUGGUAGAGGAAAUUUAUUCUUGAUGGUUAAGGCAUUUAGCCUUCUGUAGUCCACAUAGAACCUCCAUGUACCAUCUUUUUUCUUGACCAAGAGAACAGGAGAUGCAAAGGGACUUAUGUUGGGUGUGAUCAAACCAGACUUCAACAUCUUUGUCACUUGUCUUUCAAUUUCAUCCUUUUGUAGUGGAGAAUAUCUAUAGGGCCUGCAGUUCACAGGUACAGCAUCAGGGACCAGAUGGAUAGAGUGAUCCAAAGCUCUAUGAGGAGGUAGUGUUUUAGGCUCUUGAAACACUGUUUGAUUCUUGGCUAACAACUAUUGAACUGCAGGAGGUACUUCCACAGAUGGUGUCAUCACAAUGAGAUUCAAAAUAGCUGUAGCCCAUACAUCAUUGCCCUUCUCCCAUUUAAUGAGUUGUUCAGCAGAUAUCUCUUUGAGUUGGUCUUGUUGCACUCGUAUAACUCCCUGCAGUCUUAUCUCUUGACCUUCAUGUUGAAAUUGUAUCCAUCUUUCAGCCCGGUGACAUUUCAUCAUUCCCCACUGUUCCAACAAGUCCAUCCCACAGAAUAAUGUCAUGUCCACCCAAAGGAAACACUUUCAUGGAAUUGCUGAAACUAUGCCCAUGUAUCCACCAGGUCAACUGAGGCACUAUGUCAGUAUAUAUAGGACACCGACUCCCCAUUUGUCACUCUAACCUGGAGAGGCAUUGGCAGUUUUUUCAGUUUUUACCGCUACCCUAUUUAGCAAGGCUUGAUCCACAAAAGUGUGUGUGCUCCCAAAUCUACCACUAUGAGAACCACCUGAUUUCCUACCAAUGCUCUCAAGUGAAUUAUUUUAGGAUGAGCUGCCCCUGACAAUGCAGUAGUAGAGAUAGUUGCACAUUCCUCAGAAUUGUCUAUGACUAGAGCAUCCAGCACUGCAUCAGAAAUGAUCUCAUGAGGAUCCACCAAGUCUGCAGCCUUUAGUUGUCCCCCAGGUACAGCAGCCUGAUUACAAGUGUGGCCUGGUAUGAAUUUCUCCCCACACUUGUAGCAUAAACCAUUGGCACGUCUGUACUCUUUCAACUGUUUAGCUUUCCAUAGUUCUCCUAUAGGCAAGGUACCCUUGUUCUCAAACCUACUCAAAGUAGCUUUUCCAUAAUAAGUCUUUAGUUGUUUCUGUUUCAGCAUCAACCCUUCCUGUACAGAGGCAUACAUUGCCGCCAGUUGUACUGUAGUAGGCAUCUAAAGCUCCACCACAUUCCUCAACUCUUCUUUUAAAGCCAUGGUAAAUCUGGUUACCAGAAAUGUAUCACUAAAAACUGGUUCAUAUAACUUCACAUGAUAGACUAGCAGCAGUAAUUGUUGUUUGUACAUUUCUACACUGUCCACCUCUUUCAGUGAAAGUAACUCUUUCAUCUUCUGCCUGUACACAUUCACAUCAAAUUCCCGUAUAACUGCUGCAGAGAACCUUUUCCAAGAGUGAACUUCACCAGACUGUUUAACUAAUUGGUACCAGUGAGCAGCAUUAUCAGACAAAUAUAGAGAUGCAGAAGUAACUUCGAAAUUGUCAGGAAUGUUAUACAACUGGAAAAAUGCCUCACACUUGUCCAACCAAAUCCUGACCUCAGUACCAUCAAACUUGGAAAAUCCAUUUUAGGCAUCCAGCCCCGCUUGGUUCCUGAUUCCUCAUUCCUCUACUGUAGACUGCAUUCUGUGUUCAGGAUUCGGCCCACGCACCUGUACUAGGGGAUAUCGAAUCGGAGGUGGCCUUUGCGUGAGCAGCACUGGUGUCGUUCCCAAUAUCCCAUCUGAAACCUCGGAUGCGGUUGGUGAUGAACUCUCCCUGUUGCCUGGUCCUGCGGCUGCUUCCCACAAUGCGCGGAGAACGUCUGUCCCUGUUGUGCCCUACCGAUAGCAUCAUAGGAGAGGUCAACCUUCAUGUGUACCUGAUCCAGACGGGCCGCUUGCUUGGUCAGCUUGACGUCGAGAGCCUCCAGCUGAGCGCAAAUUCCGUCAACCACAUCUAGUUUGCUCUGCGCCGUGCGGAUGUCGGCUGCAUUUGCUUGGCUAGGCAACGCGUCUGCGGGUUCGGCUUGAACGUCGUCGUCGGCGGCGUGCUUGUUCCCCAAAUCAACCCACCUCAGGUCCGGAUUUACACGGAUCGAACCGGUGAUCCAUCACCUUCGCGUCGGAUUUGCUGGGUACGAUUCGGGAAAAAAAACGUGGCGCCGAGGACCGAAGGCUCUUAUACCACAUUGUCACGACCGACGACGAGCGAACCUACCGACGGCGAGCUUGAGCUUGCAAAACGAAGCUGCGGCUGAAUUUGAAUCAGAGGAGGGAAGAGAGACCGGGACAGGAUAAGAGCGAAUGAGAGAGAGAGACAAACAGGGAGAAGCAAAGAAUAUUCUCUUAAUUGAUCGAUGCCGACCAUGGCGCGGGUCGCCCGCUUAUAAGUGCGGUUCCCUCACUAUUACAAGGCCUGCGGCCCACUCCUGACUACUGGCGCGAUGGCCCAACAACAUGCUUUGAAACACCCCCCACUCGUGACUACUGGCGCGAUGGCCCAACAACAUGCUUUGAAACACCUCGCUCCCGCCAGCCCUUGGUCACUAGCCUUGGCCCAUCGCGUGUAGCUUUGGUAAGCAUAGGCUCAUCUUCAGUGCCUUGGUGCUUACAUAUUACUCCGUAGUACUUAAUCAUCUGAACCGCUGGAAGGCCAGAGGUGCUCCUUGGCUUCUUUUUUCGUCGAUUCGGGGUAGCACUUGUUCCGACCAAAUAGAAAUUUCUUUAUCCUGUCGAUUACAAUAGUUGUUAUUUACCCUUGAUUUUGGCAUGCAAGUUUGAGUACGAUGGAGUGGUUUUUACGUUUUAGUAGUAUCAUUUAUUUGUUUGGCAUGGAAGUUCGGGUUAGGCGGAGUUUGAGAUUCCGUUUGGUAUUGACAGGGCUGUUUCCAAGAAUUUAGAGCCCUGGCGGAAGAAUGCAAAAAUGUCAACCUAUUUUUUAAGCACAUAAAGCACCAAUCAAUCUGAAUGCAAUCUAUCAAUCUAUCUGAAUGCCGUUUAUUAUUUAUCAAUCUCUCCCUAAUAAUAAAGCACUACACUCCCUAAUAAUAAAGCACGUAGUGUUUCUGUCGUCCGUCAUGGCAAUUUUGCAAAAAAACCUCCGUUUUCGAGGAUUCAACCUGCAGUCCUUUUGUAAGUCAAGUCGAACUGUUAUUUUACGUUUUGAACAAAACCCCCUAUAUUUUAUCCGAACUAACCCGCAGUCCCUCUUUUAAGUCACUAUGAACUGUUUUUUUUUCAGUUUUACAUAAAACCCCCUUUCGUACGAUCAAAUUCUAAUCAAGGUAGCCAGUUGACCUGUAGCAUACACCUAAGUUAAAAAAAACAUAUAAAAAAUGUUUUGCAAGGAAUCCUCGCAUGGGCCGGCCCUAGCAUAGGCACCAACUAUACUACGCUCUGUUCGGUGGAAAAUAAACAGCACGCCCAUUUGGGCCAGCCCAUGGGUGGGGCCUGUUUUUUUAGUUUUUCAAUUAUUAUUUAUCUGUUCUUUUUCAUUUUUUCUAUUUCAACUAAAUCAAUAAAAACUUCAGAAAUUCAAAAAAUUAUAUUUACAUAAAUGUUUGAUAAAACAUAAAAUGUUUGCGAAUUCAAAAAUUGUUCGGGAUUUUUGUAAAAAUGUUUGCAUAUUAAAAAAAUCAUAAUUUUGGAGAAAACAUUCGUGAAUCAAAAAAAGUCUAUCAUUUUGAGCAAUUUCUUUAAUGCAAUUAAAAAAAUGUUUGAUAAUUCAAAAUAUGAAUUAUUCGCCAAUUCACAAGCAAAUACUUGAAAAUAGUUCGUAAUAUAAAAUAUUGUUUGGAAUUUUAAAAAAAUGUUUAUAAAUAGUAAAAAAUGUUUUUGAUUUUAAAAAUGUUCCCAAAUUUGUAAAAAUGUUCACGAAUGAUCAAAUGUAUGCAGUUCAACAGUAAUGCUUCUGAGUCUUUCAGAUUAUAUACCUGAGUGGAUUUUGAAGAAUUAAUUGUCAUGGUGGAUCGGAAUAUUAUAGAAUGUUUUAAAAAAUGUUUCUUGAAAUUCAGAAUAAUUCUUUGAGUUACCAAGUUUUUUGACAACCAUGAUAUAUUUUUUUAAAAUAUGAACAUUGUUUCAACUUGUGAAUUGUGAAUAAAAUUAAAAGAAUAAAUAUUUUCUUGCAUUUAUGGACAAAUUUUCGAAAUCAUGCGAUGAGAUAUGAACAUAAUGUGGUCAUCGCCAUUGAAGAUGGUGGUUUUUUUUCUCCCGUUGCAACGCACGGGCCCUUUUGCUAGUCUAUACAAACACAAUACAUCCAUCUAUACGGUACGCAUCCGCAUAUCAUAGAACGCAUUUUAUGAAUUAUACCAGUGAACGCAUUUUAUGCUUGCCACUCAACUGAAUCCUCUAUUAGUAUGCUUGUAGCUUUAUUACAACAGUUUUGGAUCGCUGGAACCCUGGAGGUGCUUCUUGGCUUCUUGUUUUGGUGGAUUCGGGGUAGCACUUGUUCCGACCAAAUAGGAACUUCUUUGUCCUGUCGACUACCGUAGCUGUUAUUUACCCUUGAUUUAGGCAUGCAAAUUUGAGUACCAUGGAGUGGUUUUUAGUAGUAUCAUUUAUUUGUUUGGCAUGGAAGUUCAGGUUAGACGGAGUUUGAGACUCCGUUUGGUAUUGACAGGGCAGUGUCCAGGAAUUUAGAGCCCCGGCGGAAGAAUGCAAAAAUGUCAACCUAUUUUUAAACACGGCAUAAAGCACCAAUCUAUCUGAAUGCAAUCUACAGUAUCAAUCUGAAUGCCGUUUAUUAUUUAUCAAUCUAUCCAAACACAAUCCAUCCAUCUAUACGGGACGCAUCCGCAUAUCAUCGUGGAACGCAUUUUAUGAAUUAUUAUACCAGUGUGAUAUUAUGUACUUACACUGCACCGAAAUCCAAAGAUCAAAAGAGCGUGUUGUAGAUGCCACUCGAAAAUUCAGAAGACGGAAAAGUACUCGAGCAGACCUGGGUGGAGAUCGGGGUCUUGGCCUCUUGGAGAACCAGCCAACUGCAAGUAGGCCUACGGCCUGCACAAGGCCAGCAUGCAGCAUCCAUGGCGACUGGCCAGGAGAAAGGAGGAGGACUGGCCGGAGGAGGACGAGGGCCGGCGCCCGGCGGCGAUGGCUAGGGCCGAUCGAGGACGAGCAGGCGAUUUGGGCGGCGUGCGUGGGGUGGGGAUCGGGGCAUCGGGCGAUGUGUGUGUGUUUGGACGACACAUAAGGCGUGGCUGGGAUCGGCCGAUCGAGGCACGUCAGCUUGGGCCGCGCCACGCGUGUCGGCCCCCCGGACGCACGAG